CAUCUACUUUAUCAUUCCCGAUGAAUAUUAAAUAAGUGCACAUGGUAAUAGUUAGUAUACACACCCAUCAGUAUAGCUAUCUCAUCCAUCCAAUUGUUUUGCUCCGAGACACGAGAACAGAAUCUCUUUAUCAUC
ensembl:ncRNA C26G2.10 ncRNA